rnacentral:rRNA from 1 species
AUACGGAGGGUGCAAGCGUUGUUCGGAAUCACUGGGCGUAAAGGGCGCGCAGGCGGUUUUACAAGUCAGAUGUGAAAGCCCACGGCUUAACCGUGGAAGUGCAUUUGAAACUGUAAGACUUGAGUAUCAGAGGGGAAGGUGGAAUUCCCGGUGUAGAGGUGAAAUUCGUAGAUAUCGGGAGGAGUACCGGUGGCGAAGGCGACUUUCUGGCUGAAUACUGACGCUGAGGCGCGAAAGCGUGGGGAGCAAACAGGAUUAGAAACCCCAGUAGUCC